rnacentral:snoRNA from 1 species
UAGCAGUGAUGAAAAAAGGCCGGUCUUACAGCUGCUUUGGUUGAAUCCAAUUGGUAGUAGAAAUGUAGAAUGACGUGAACUUUCAUGUGGUUUUUUCUGUGCCAG